rfam:Vibrio azureus NBRC 104587 DNA, contig: VAZ01S052.
CCAUUUGUAUCACCAGAUGAACCUACGAGCCUGAAUAAAGCAGCGGCUUGGACAAUGUAACGAAGAGCGAUACGAAUCACUUGGGAUCUGAAUCGUAAGAGGGUGAUCCUCCUGAUAACCACAUGAAUCGGGUGAGUGC